rnacentral:rRNA from 1 species
GAUGAACGCUGGCGGCGUGCUUAACACAUGCAAGUCGAACGAAGCUGCUUAACAGAUUUCCUUCGGGAUUGAUGUUUUGUAGACUGAGUGGCGGACGGGUGAGUAACGCGUGGGUAACCUGCCCUGUACAGGGGGAUAACAGUUAGAAAUGACUGCUAAUACCGCAUAAGACCACAGCACCGCAUGGUGCAGGGGUAAAAACUCCGGUGGUACAGGAUGGACCCGCGUCUGAUUAGCUGGUUGGUGAGGUAACGGCUCACCAAGGCGACGAUCAGUAGCCGGCUUGAGAGAGUGAACGGCCACAUUGGGACUGAGACACGGCCCAAACUCCUACGGGAGGCAGCAGUGGGGAAUAUUGCACAAUGGGGGGAACCCUGAUGCAGCGACGCCGCGUGAGUGAAGAAGUAUCUCGGUAUGUAAAGCUCUAUCAGCAGGGAAGAAAAUGACGGUACCUGACUAAGAAGCC